UACGUAGGGGGCAAGCGUUGUCCGGAAUCAUUGGGCGUAAAGGGCGCGUAGGCGGCGCAACAAGUCACUUGUGAAAUCUCCGGGCUUAACCCGGAGCGGCCAAGUGAUACUGUCGUGCUAGAGUGCGGAAGGGGCUACUGGAAUUCUCGGUGUAGCGGUGAAAUGCGUAGAUAUCGAGAGGAACACCUGCGGCGAAGGCGGGUAGCUGGGCCGACACUGACGCUGAGGAGCGAAAGCGUGGGGAGCGAACAGG
rnacentral:rRNA from 1 species